rfam:Schistosoma haematobium scaffold1301_18, whole genome shotgun sequence.
GCAUUGCCGAGGAGUCCCACAAUAGGACGAAACGGCCGUCCAGUGC